rnacentral:rRNA from 1 species
AGUUUGAUCCUGGCUCAGAUUGAACGCUGGCGGCAUGCCUUACACAUGCAAGUCGAACGGUAACGGGCCUUCGGGUGCCGACGAGUGGCGAACGGGUGAGUAAUGUAUCGGAACGUACCUUUCAGUGGGGGAUAACGUAGCGAAAGUUACGCUAAUACCGCAUAUUCUGUGAGCAGGAAAGCAGGGGAUCGCAAGACCUUGCGCUGAUUGAGCGGCCGAUAUCAGAUUAGCUAGUUGGUGAGGUAAAGGCUUACCAAGGCGACGAUCUGUAGCGGGUCUGAGAGGAUGAUCCGCCACACUGGAACUGAGACACGGUCCAGACUCCUACGGGAGGCAGCAGUGGGGAAUUUUGGACAAUGGGGCAACCCUGAUCCAGCCAUGCCGCGUGAGUGAAGAAGGCCUUCGGGUUGUAAAGCUCUUUCGGCCGGGAAGAAAUCGUAUGGGUUAAUACCCUGUGCGGAUGACGGUACCGGCAUAAGAAGCACCGGCUAACUACGUG